UAAUAUUUCUCUCUGGAGUCUGACUUUUGU
rnacentral:piRNA from 1 species